UAAGAGACGUUCACACUAACAAGCAACCAAACCAAAGACAAUAUGACGGAAAAACUGAAAAAAUAAAAUUGACGUGCAAAGCCAGUGGAAACCCUGAACCAAAGUACGCAUGGUUUAAAGAGGACAACGAUACAAUCGUAAUUUCUAAAACAAAUCUCUAUGUCAUUGAAGAUGUUAUUCAAAACAACAGUGGAGUAUACAUCUGUGAAGCUUACAACACUAUAAAUAGCGUAUAUUACACACAUUCCAAUUCAGUAGAAGUUAAUAUAGGGGAUGAAUCAGUGCCAAAAACAGAGCCGGGAUCACUAACAAUUUUCUCAGUACAUGCAUCAUACGCAAUUCCAGUCACUUGUGUAGUCGUUGUUGUUGUCCUAUGUUUCGCUGUUAGGAAGCGAAAUUGUGACCGAGAAAAAAGAAAUGUGCCAGCUGUUACCGUUAUAUAUUCAGAGGUCAACGAGCAUACAAAGUUGAAAAAUAGAUUGACGAAGAAGCAAGUGACAUCAUUGCAGCAUAAUAGUGUACAAUAUGAUGCAGUGGAUGCUGCACACGAAAUCUCAAGAGAUCCAACACUCAAAUAUAAUAUGGUCACAGGAAAGCUAGAAGUAUAUACGAACGUUUGACCUACUAGUAUUUAUUUUAUUAUGGGAUGUCGAACAUAUCGACUGUAAUGAAAGAAUCGACAUGCAAUUCAUCCUUCGUUUUGAGUUAUUAAGCACUUGUCUGCGUAAAGCUUGUGCUCAAGCAGACUUCGAAAUAAUUAUAAUCACUUUAAAAGCAGGUAAAUGUAUCGUGUUGAACGACCGCUAGAAAAAAAAAGUUAAAAAAAAUACCGAACGAGUGAAAAACAACUGUCAUAUUCCUGACUAGGGUACAGGCAUUUUCCGAAGAAAAUGCUAGGUUAAACGUGGUUUUAAAGCUAGUUAAACCUCCCACUUGUAUGACAGAAAGUGAAACGCAUAAAAACACCAGGUUUAUCAUAAUCCGACUUCCUGAUCGGUUGAUUUUGUUUGGUCUUAUGAAUAUUAAAAAUAAAUGUAACAAAUAUACAAAUAUCUCAUUUGCCUUCAAAAUUUCUUGGACAUAAAUUUUAAUUUACCAAUUGUUUUACUUUUGAGAGUUUAUCCAAAUAAAAGAGUAAAACAAAGCUGAAUAGUUUUUUUUAGAAUAGGUUGAUACUGAAGACGCUAACCAUUUGUUUUUCUUUUAGUCUUGAGUUUGAAUUGCAUUUUAUUUCAUGUUGAACUAGAAGUGUGAAUGAGAUUUUUCUCUGAUUUGGAAGUAUACAACGACAAUUCUUAAAUUUGUUUGCACUGUAUUUUUUUUGUUUUUCUUUCCAAAUUAGAUGUUUGCUAUAAAACAAUUGUAAUCUGCAUAAAUUUAAACUUAAAGAAAAGAACUCUAAGAAAACCAUGAUCCCAUCUAGUUGUUACAAAACCUCCUGGAUAUUCUAUGUUUCCUGGAACACACUUUUGGACAUUAUAAGUAAGUUUGUGUAAAAAAAUGAAAGAUAACUGUUUUACCUUUUCAAACUGAGACAAGGGUGAAUUAUAAGUAUACAUACAGUUCUGAAGAGGAAUGAUUUGUCGAUAUUUCAUGAUUUGUCAUUGUAAAAACAUGUAUGAGAGAACCCAUCAUUGUGAAUUAUUUAUGCUUGAAAUUAAA